rnacentral:rRNA from 1 species
AUUGAACGCUGGCGGCAUGCCUUACACAUGCAAGUCGAACGGCAGCACGGGGCAACCUGGUGGCGAGUGGCGAACGGGUGAGUAAUGCAUCGGAACGUACCUUUCAGUGGGGGAUAACGUAGCGAAAGUUACGCUAAUACCGCAUAUUCUGUGAGCAGGAAAGCAGGGGAUCACAAGACCUUGCGCUGAUUGAGCGGCCGAUGUCAGAUUAGCUAGUUGGUGAGGUAAAGGCUCACCAAGGCGACGAUCUGUAGCGGGUCUGAGAGGAUGAUCCGCCACACUGGAACGGAGACACGGUCCAGACUCCUACGGGAGGCAGCAGUGGGGAAUUUUGGACAAUGGGGGCAACCCUGAUCCAGCCAUGCCGCGUGAGUGAAGAAGGCCUUCGGGUUGUAAAGCUCUUUCGGCCGGGAAGAAAUCGCACGGGCUAAUACCCUGUGUGGAUGACGGUACCGGAAUAAGAAGCACCGGCUAACUACGUGCCAGCAGCCGCGGUAAAAC